AGCAUUUUCUGGAAUUUUCCAAGCUGUUUAAAGGCACAGUCAACUUAGUGUAUGUAAACUUCUAACCCACUGGAAUUGUGAUACAGUGAAUUCUAAGUGAAAUAAUCUGUCUGUAAACAAUUGUUGGAAAAAUGACUUGUGUCAUGCACAAAGUAGAUGUCCUAACCGACUUGCCAAAACUAUAGUUUAAGAAGAAAAUUUGUGGAGUGGUUGAAAAUCGAUUUUUAAUGACUCCAACCUAAGUGUAUGUAAACUUCCGAUUUCAACUGUAUAGUGUAUAUGUUCUGAUCAGCCUCUCUUGUGUUAUUCAAGCCUUGACGACUCAUUCAACGAGGAGAGCUACCUCAUAGAGGGUGGACCACACUCUUCUACCUCAUCUUUUUUUUAGGGGAUGCGGAUUUUCCUUCCACAGUCCAGAGAGGGAGCAUACCUAAGUGGACAGGAUAUGAUAGGAAACCUUUUAAAUCCAACCAAAAGUUUUCCUCUUCCAAAUGACCAGUUCCAGGAGCUGGUCCUGGGUCUGCUGUUGGACAUCAGUCAGUCAGUGAAGGAGCUGGUAGGAUGGGUGGGAGUUCUGUAACACUGGGAUUCUACUGAGGAUUCUGGACCUGGAACAGACUUCCAGUUUGAUGUGUGUAGAAUCCUGGAAGACAUGGCCAACCUGGAGAGAGUUCUAGAGCCUCCGGAGGUAGCUGCCCAGAUGAAACAGUUCCUGAGUAGGAUCGGUGGGAACACGUUGAGGGACAAUGUCACUGGAGUGAUGGAGAGGCUGAUGACCAAUGAAGCGAUGAGCAACUUCAACAUGAAAGGAAGGAAAUGGACCAAGAAGAGUUCUCUCACACUCCCUGAGCAAAAUCUUUAUUGGUAAGAGUACAGAGUAUAUAAGCAGAGUGGAGCGGUCGGAAAUAACGCUCAUCGCUCACUGAGCCAGCGCUCCACAUCCUUUCCAACCGCACCAGAAAAAAAAAAAAGUUCUUCAAACACAGAAGAAAAAAAACAGCUCAAAAUUUGCUCCAUUCAUUCAAAUCAUCAUUUCACCAACACCCAUCUAUUUUUGUGACUACCUGGACCUACCAUUUGCUUUCGAAAUAUUGAAACCAAACUAUAUGAUUUGAAUCAAAUGUAUUUUAAUAAACAUGAAAAGGUGACUGUAAGAAGCGCUUAUCAUUUCAAAUAGGCUACAAGUCGUAUUAAACAACAUAUGAACACACUCUAAAUAGGUCAGAAGCCAGACAGGUACUCUGUGAAGGAAUGGAAAUUAAUUAUUUAGGCCAGUGGUUCCCAAACUUUUUAUAGUCCCGUACCCCUUCAAACAUUCAACCUCCAGCUGCAUACCUCUC